rnacentral:rRNA from 1 species
AGCGAACGCUGGCGGCAGGCCUAACACAGCCAAGUCGAACGAACUUUCCGGGGUUAGUGGCGGAGGGGGGGGUAACAGGGGGAAACGGGCUUUUGGGUUCGGAAUAACUCAGGGAAACUUGGCCUAAUACGAAAGUGGCCCUCCGGGGAAAAGAUUUAUCGCCAUUAGAGCGGCCCGCGUCGGUUUGGCUAGUUGGUGAGGUAACGGCUCACCAAGGCGACGUUCAGUAGCUGGUCUGAGAGGAUGACCAGCCACACUGGGACUGAGACACGGCCCAGACUCCUACGGGAGGCAGCAGUGGGGAAUCUUGCGCAAUGGGCGAAAGCCUGACGCAGCCAUGCCGCGUGAAUGAUGAAGGUCUUAGGAUUGUAAAAUUCUUUCACCGGGGACGAUAAUGACGGUACCCGGAGAAGAAGCCCCGGCUAACUUCGUG